rnacentral:rRNA from 1 species
CGCACAGACGGCGGCCACUGCAGCGCCAUGGUAAGUACUAGUUCCAAACACGCGUGUGCAUCAUGUCAUGUGGCCUCGCCACGUACAAUGCUCGAAACGGCCGGGGUGCACCGUCGUCGUUUCUCCUACGAACUGCUCGGGGGCCCGGGGCCGGCUGCCGCACACACAGUCCGGUCCCCGAGCUUGCUGUCAACGCCCGCCAACCCUCGGAGCCGGGUGCCGCGCAGCGGAUGGAGCAGACGGAGGGGGAAAAAUAAGGCGGGACCUCUCCCAGGUUGGCAGAGAAGAAGCGGAACCCGACCGAGCCGAGGGGGGGCUGAAAGGUGGAGGGGCCGAGGCCGAGGCCGAGGCCGAGGCGGGGCGCGUGAUGGCUUCCGGCUUUCCAUGACGAGGAGAGAGACAAGGGGAGGGAAGGGAAAGGAGAGGGUGGUGGGCAAGCUACUUUACCGCGUCGGCGUCUUAAUCGGCGAGGAACGAAAAGUAUAGGACGGCGGGAGCGCUGCGGAUCUCGACUGGUUCUCAAGCUUAACCAUACACGGAGGAGACAACAACGAGGUGCUGAGCUCGACAAAGAAAGAACGACCAAGGCGUCCACGGGACCAAGAACGAGGACGUGCCCUGUUCCCCGGUUCUUAAAGACACCAAAACUCUUUUCUCUCGAUUCGACCGAAGUUCUUCUUAUACCGUAGAGAAUGAGGUCCCUAUGACAAUUUCCAAGAGUUUGUAUAUUUGAGACUACACUUUCAUACACCUCUUGUGGCCAGUUAAGAAGAGGUUCAAUAAUCGUAGCAAGGACGUUAAUGACCAAGUCUUGAAACCGGUCUGGUACCAAAGAAGUAUUUUCAAAGUCUAAGUAGCGUGAGUUGUAUACACAGAAAUAGUUUCCUCCUAUUACUUGAGUAGAAUAGUUUGUUUGAUGUUGAACCUGUCAAGUAUAUACAACUUUUCCAAGUCAGGUCACAAGGACAAGGUCAAGAACAACCCCAGUCUCGUCAGGGUCCUUCCUUGGGAAAGUAACCUUUGGGCUUCCUAAACUACGUUUACAGUUGAGGGAGACCCCAAAACCUUCGUAACCUAGUUGUUGCCUUUUGAUGGUUCGGUUGACUUAACAGACUCUCACUUUUCCUUUUGAGAGUCUCCUUCCAUCAGUAGUUUCUCGUCUUCCGGCCACAACGAAGGGCAAUGUACGAACCCUAUAGUUCGUUGUUACCAUUUUAAUGGUUAGAUUUGAGAUCGUACCUAUCACUGUUUUCAUCAUUACCUCCUUCAUCACAAACGCUCCGUUUGGUUUUCGACCAGAGAUCACGAUGCUUUCACUUUGUUCUCAGUUUUGGAGUCCUUUCCGGUUUAUAAUGGAGAGGAUUAUUACGGUUCAAUCGAAGAUGCUCUGUUCUUCAAUUAUUCCUUUAUGCGUUCUUAUCACCGUCCGGUGAGUCAGUCUUGCCAAGACGACAUCACUUCUUCGUUUACGGUUCUCUGUAUUUUUCCCUUAGUCGUUGACUUCCUUCGAGUGGCGGUUUCGAAAUAUCCUCAAGUGGUAGUUGCGGUCGUUCUUGAAGUGGUGGUUUCGAGUCCUCAAGUGGUGGUUGCGGUCGUUCUUGAAGUGGUGGCUCUUAGUUACACGGUCGUUUCCGUUUACGAUGGAGGUCAGGUCAAAGAAGACACGGAUUAUAAUUUUCUUCUCAGUGUCUUUGGCACAGGACCCUAUGGGAAGGUUGUACGAACUAGUUUAGACCUUUCCGGCAACAGUCCUCCUUCUGAUAACGAGAAUAUCAUCGUCGUCUCCGUGUUUCCCUCCGAUGACGACGACGUAGAGAACACUUUCCGGAACCUUAAAAAUGGCUCUAUGACUUUAGGCGGCUCCUCCUAGGCGUACCGCGUCAGUUGUUCAAAAAAGUCGAUUUGGCCGAAUAGUAAGUCGUUUUGUAAAAGACCUUUCUAUUGAGCGGUCUAAGACCGUUCCUUAGGUCUGGUCUCUUCCUCUUCGGUAGUUCCUUUCAAAGACGUAGAGUCUUGUUUCGACGACCUUCACCACGUCGCUUCUUGGGGCUGCUACGGAUAUGCUCACCAUUCGAGCUUACCCGGUCUCUUCUACCAAAGUUCCUCUAUCCGUCCAGUACCUAGCUAGACUUUUCCCUUAGUGUCAGUACCAAAGACUUGAAGGACCUUCUGCGCGAACACAGGCCUAAGUUUAAACUCCCGGCUCAAUUCUUGUCGUGGUCUCUUGCCCACGCUCCCGUCAGGUUCCCACCGCUGCCCGUCUAGCGCCAGGCCGACAGCGUCGAGUUCCUCUGGUCGUUGACCGAACUGGUCGUCGACGUCUCGCUCCCCCGCUUUGGACUGCUGCCAAACCAGCUUUGGUAGCUCGCCGACUUCGUCUUCCGGAUGAGCACGGACGAGCCCUGGCAGCUCUGGCGCCGGAGCCGAGAACUUUCGUCUUUGCCAACGUCGACUUUAGAAAGGUCCCGACCGGAACGUACAAAAAACCGAACCUUCUUCAUCUUCUCGUCACGACGACAUGUCUUGUGUUCUUCUAGGACGACGUUUCCUCUUACCUCUACUUCGUAUUAAAUAUGGUUGACAUGUUUUAUUGCAUCCUCGCUCUCCUAACUCUCUACAUUUAUCGGACCAACUCAACGGGCAAUUCAAUAAGCAAGCUAGAACAAGGAAAACGCGACAGAGCACAAGGAACACUUCAGAAGUCAGCACAGACCGGUCGUUAUGUUUACCUACUUACAAACGUGAACGGAUUUUGUUUUAACGGUUAAUAAGCUCGGAGACGUGAGGCGUUGGUACGCCGCGUUUUGUAUAGUAUAGUCGAGAGCAAACAUUCCACACACACACCACCUACCUUCUAGGUGGUCAUCUCUAAUAACUAUGAGAACAUUUUCUUCUAUACCACUAGUGGAACGUUAUUUCUCGUAAAACUACAG